rnacentral:misc_RNA from 1 species
GAUGAAGAGCGUAGCGAAAUGCGAUACGUAAUGUGAAUUGCAGAAUUCAGUGAAUCAUCGAGUCUUUGAACGCACAUUGCGCCCCCUGGUAUUCCGGGGGGCAUACCUGUCCGAGCGUCAUUGCUGCCCUCAAGCACGGCUUGUGUGUUGGGCCUCCGUCCUCCUCCCGGGGGACGGGCCCGAAAGGCAGCGGCGGCACCGCGUCCGGUCCUCGAGCGUAUGGGGCUUCGUCACCCGCUCUUGUAGGCCCGGCCGGCGCUUGCCGACACAUCAAUCUUUUUUCCAGGUUGACCUCGGAUCAGGUAGGGAUACCCGCUGAACUUAAGCAUAUCAAUAAGCGGAGGA